UACGUAGGGUGCGAGCGUUGUCCGGAAUUAUUGGGCGUAAAGAGCUCGUAGGCGGUGUGUCGCGUCGGUCGUGAAAACUUGGGGCUUAACCCUGAGCUUGCGGUCGAUACGGGCAUCACUGGAGUUCGGCAGGGGAGACUGGAAUUCCUGGUGUAGCGGUGAAAUGCGCAGAUAUCAGGAGGAACACCGGUGGCGAAGGCGGGUCUCUGGGCCGAAACUGGACGCUGAGGAGCGAAAGCGUGGGGAGCGAACAGGA
rnacentral:rRNA from 1 species